AGCAGCCGCGGUAAUUCCAGCUCCAAUAGCGUAUAUUAAAGUUGUUGCAGUUAAAAAGCUCGUAGUUGAAUUUCGGGAUUAGUAGUCUGGUCGUGCCACUGGUAUGUACUGGUCUUACUGAUUUCUCCUUCCUGAAGAACCGUAAUGUCAUUAAUUUGGUGUUGCGGGGAAUCUGGACUGUUACUUUGAAAAAUUAGAGUGUUUAAAGCAGGCUAACGCUUGAAUACAUUAGCAUGGAAUAAUGAAAUAGGACGAUCGAUCCUAUUUUGUUGGUUUCUAGGAUUGACGUAAUGAUUAAUAGGGAUAGUUGGGGGCAUUAGUAUUCAAUUGUCAGAGGUGAAAUUCUUGGAUUUAUUGAAGACUAACUACUGCGAAAGCAUUUGCCAAGGAUGUUUUCAUUAAUCAAGAACGAAAGUUAGGGGAUCGAAGACGAUCAGAUACCGUCGUAGUCUUAACCAUAAACUAUGCCGACUAGGGAUCGGAUGAUGUUAAUUUUAUAAUUGA
rnacentral:rRNA from 1 species